rnacentral:rRNA from 1 species
UGAACGCUGGCGGCGUGCCUAAUACAUGCAAGUCGAGCGAACAGACGAGGAGCUUGCUCCUCUGACGUUAGCGGCGGACGGGUGAGUAACACGUGGAUAACCUACCUAUAAGACUGGGAUAACUUCGGGAAACCGGAGCUAAUACCGGAUAAUAUAUUGAACCGCAUGGUUCAAUAGUGAAAGACGGUUUUGCUGUCACUAUAGAUGGAUCCGCGCCGCAUUAGCUAGUUGGUAAGGUAACGGCUUAAUAAGGCAACGAUGCGUAGCCGACCUGAGAGGGUGAUCGGCCACACUGGAACUGAGACACGGUCCAGACUCCUACGGGAGGCAGCAGUAGGGAAUCUUCCGCAAUGGGCGAAAGCCUGACGGAGCAACGUCGCGUGAGUGAUGAAGGUCUUCGGAUCGUAAAACUCUGUUAUUAGGGAAGAACAAAUGUGUAAGUAACUAUGCACGUCUUGACGGUACCUAAUCAGAAAGCCACGGCUAACUACGUG